UGGGGAAUAUUGGACAAUGGGCGCAAGCCUGAUCCAGCCAUGCCGCGUGAGUGAUGAAGGCCCUAGGGUUGUAAAGCUCUUUCACCGGUGAAGAUAAUGACGGUAACCGGAGAAGAAGCCCCGGCUAACUUCGUGCCAGCAGCCGCGGUAAUACGAAGGGGGCUAGCGUUGUUCGGAUUUACUGGGCGUAAAGCGCACGUAGGCGGACUUUUAAGUCAGGGGUGAAAUCCCGGGGCUCAACCCCGGAACUGCCUUUGAUACUGGAAGUCUUGAGUAUGGUAGAGGUGAGUGGAAUUCCGAGUGUAGAGGUGAAAUUCGUAGAUAUUAGGAGGAACACCGGUGGCGAAAGCGGCUUUUUGGCCUGCAACUGACACUGAGGCGCGAAAGCGUGGGGAGCAAACAGG
rnacentral:rRNA from 1 species